GAUGAACGCUGGCGGCGUGCCUAAUACAUGCAAGUCGAGCGAACAGACGAGGAGCUUGCUCCUCUGACGUUAGCGGCGGACGGGUGAGUAACACGUGGAUAACCUACCUAUAAGACUGGGAUAACUUCGGGAAACCGGAGCUAAUACCGGAUAAUAUAUUGAACCGCAUGGUUCAAUAGUGAAAGACGGUUUUGCUGUCACUUAUAGAUGGAUCCGCGCCGCAUUAGCUAGUUGGUAAGGUAACGGCUUACCAAGGCAACGAUGCGUAGCCGACCUGAGAGGGUGAACGGCCACACUGGAACUGAGACAAGGUCCAGACUCCUAGGGGAGGCAGCAGUAGGGAAUCUUCCGAAAUGGGCGAAAGCCUGACGGAGCAACGCCGCGUGAGUGAUGAAGGUCUUCGGAUCGUAAAACUCUGUUAUUAGGGAAGAAAAAAUGUGUAAGUAACUAUGCACGUCUUGACGGUACCUAAUCAGAAAGCCACGGCUAACUACGUG
rnacentral:rRNA from 1 species